rnacentral:rRNA from 1 species
CCUACGGGAGGCAGCAGUGAGGAAUAUUGGUCAAUGGACGCAAGUCUGAACCAGCCAUGCCGCGUGAAGGAAGACGGCCCUAUGGGUUGUAAACUGCUUUUAUACGGGGGUAAACUGAGAUACGUGUGUGUUUCUGCAAGUACCCUAUGAAUAAGGAUCGGCUAACUCCGUGCCAGCAGCCGCGGUAAUACGGAGGAUUCAAGCGUUAUCCGGAUUUAUUGGGUUUAAAGGGUGCGUAGGUGGACGGUUAAGUUAGAGGUGAAAGCGCGGGGCUCAACGUCGGAAUUGCCGUUGAUACUGGGCGGCUAGAGAGCAGUAGCGGUAGGCGGAAUGUAUGGUGUAGCGGUGAAAUGCUUAGAGAUCAUGAAGAACACCGAUUGCGAAGGCAGCUUAC